rnacentral:rRNA from 1 species
UCGAGAAUCUUCCGCAAUGGACGAAAGUCUGACGGAGCGACGCCGCGUGAUUGAUGAAGCUUUUCGGAGUGUAAAGAUCUUUUAUGAGGGAAGAAGUUUAUUGACGGUACCUCAUGAAUAAGGGGCUCCUAAUCUCGUGCCAGCAGGAGCGGUAAUACGAGAGCCCCGAGCGUUAUCCGGAAUUAUUGGGCGUAAAGGGUGCGUAGGUGGUUGUGUUAGUCGUUUGUUAAAUCCUUGGGCUUAACCCAAGAACUGUGAACGAAACGGCACAACUAGAGAGUGUGAGGGGUAUAGGGAACUCAUGGUGUAGGGGUGAAAUCCGUUGAUAUCAUGGGGAACACCAAAAGCGAAGGCACUAUACUAGCACAUGUCUGACACUCAAGCACGAAAGCGUGGGUAGCGAAUG